CCCUUAGAUGUUCUGGGCCACACGCGCGUUACACUGAUGAAGCCAGCGAGUAUAUCGCCUUCACCGGAAGGUGCGGGUAAUCUUGUGAAACUUCAUCGUGCUGGGGAUAGACCAUUGCAAUUAUUGGUCUUGAACGAGGAAUUCCUAGUAAGCAUGAGUCAUCAACUCGUGCUGAUUACGUCCCUGCCCUUUGUACACACCGCCCGUCGCUACUACCGAUUGAAUGGUUUAGUGAGAUCUCGGGAUUGGAGACGUUGCGCCGCAAGGCACAUCGUCCUCGAGAACUUGAUCAAACUUGAUCAUUUAGAGGAAGUAAAGGUCGUAACA
rnacentral:rRNA from 1 species